AUUGAACGCUGGCGGCAUGCCUUACACAUGCAAGUCGAACGGCAGCGGGCCCUUCGGGGUGCCGGCGAGUGGCGAACGGGUGAGUAAUGCAUCGGAACGUACCCGGGAGAGGGGGAUAACCGGCCGAAAGGCUGGCUAAUACCGCAUGAACUCGGAAGAGCAAAGCGGGGGACCUUCGGGCCUCGCGCUCUCGGAGCGGCCGAUGUCCGAUUAGGCUAGUUGGUGGGGUAAAGGCCCACCAAGGCGACGAUCGGUAGCGGGUCUGAGAGGACGAUCCGCCACACUGGAACUGAGACACGGCCCAGACUCCUACGGGAGGCAGCAGUGGGGAAUCUUGGACAAUGGGCGCAAGCCUGAUCCAGCAAUGCCGCGUGGGUGAAGAAGGCCUUCGGGUUGUAAAGCCCUUUCGGCGGGGAAGAAAUCGGUCAGGCGAAUAGUCUGGCCGGAUGACGGUACCCGCAGAAGAAGCACCGGCUAACUACGUG
rnacentral:rRNA from 1 species